rnacentral:rRNA from 1 species
GAUGAACGCUGGCGGCGUGCCUAAUACAUGCAAGUCGAGCGAACGGACGAGAAGCUUGCUUUUCUGAUGUUAGCGGCGGACGGGUGAGUAACACGUGGAUAACCUACCUAUAAGACUGGGAUAACUUCGGGAAACCGGAGCUAAUACCGGAUAAUAUUUUGAACCGCAUGGUUCAAAAGUGAAAGACGGUCUUGCUGUCACUUAUAGAUGGAUCCGCGCUGCAUUAGCUAGUUGGUAAGGUAACGGCUUACCAAGGCAACGAUGCAUAGCCGACCUGAGAGGGUGAUCGGCAACACGGAACUGAGACACGGUCCAGACUCCUACGGGAGGCAGCAGUAGGGAAUCUUCCGCAAUGGGCGAAAGCCUGACGGAGCAACGCCGCGUGAGUGAUGAAGGUCUUCGGAUCGUAAAACUCUGUUAUUAGGGAAGAACAUAUGUGUAAGUAACUGUGCACAUCUUGACGGUACCUAAUCAGAAAGCCACGGCUAACUACGUG